GACGAACGCUGGCGGCGUGCCUAAUACAUGCAAGUCGAGCGGACCACUUCGGUGGUCAGCGGCGGACGGGUGAGUAACACGUGGGCAACCUGCCUGUAAGACUGGGAUAACACCGGGAAACCGGUGCUAAUACCGGAUAAUCCUUUCCUUCACAUGAAGGAAAGCUGAAAGACGGUUUCGGCUGUCACUUACAGAUGGGCCCGCGGCGCAUUAGCUAGUUGGUGAGGUAACGGCUCACCAAGGCGACGAUGCGUAGCCGACCUGAGAGGGGGAUCGGCCACACUGGGACUGAGACACGGCCCGGACUCCUACGGGAGGCAGCAGUAGGGAAUCUUCCGCAAUGGACGAAAGUCUGACGGAGCAACGCCGCGUGAGCGAUGAAGGCCUUCGGGUCGUAAAGCUCUGUUGUCAGGGAAGAACAAGUACCGGAGUAACUGCCGGUACCUUGACGGUACCUGACCAGAAAGCCACGGCUAACUACGUGCCAGCCGCCGCCGUAACAC
rnacentral:rRNA from 1 species